UUUAUAUGGCUCUGAUCAGACUGGAUCUGAUUACAUCAGCACUAGAAGAUGAAGAACACACUCUGUAUACUACUGCUCUCAUUCAGCCUAACCUGUAUAAAAUGUCAAAGUAUGGAGUCCAUUGAAGGCACAGUUCAGAAAAGACCUGGAGAUACUCUGACUCUCUCCUGUCGUGGAUCUGGAUUCAGCUUUGGCUCCUUUCACAUGCACUGGAUCAGACAGCAAGCUGGAAAACCACUCGUCUGGAUGGGACGUACAGGCAAUGCUUACUCCAAAUCUUUUGAAGGGCGAAUUGAAGUCACCAGAGAUAACUCAAAGAGUAUGACAUAUCUGAAACUGUCAGGACUGACAGCAGAGGACACAGCCGUGUAUUACUGUGCAAAAGAAACACAGCAACACAAAACACUUAUAAAGCUGAACAAAAACUGCUUUGAGCAGACUGAUACAUUUAAUCUCUUGCCUCUAGAGGUCAACAGGUGGCAGCAGAGGAUGAUAAGUAAAUCUUAAAA